rnacentral:tRNA from 2 species
GCGGGAAUAGCUCAGUGGUAGAGCACUAGCUUCCCAAGCUGGGUGCCGCGGGUUCGAUACCCGUUUCCCGCU